UACGAAGGGGGCUAGCGUUGCUCGGAAUCACUGGGCGUAAAGCGCACGUAGGCGGAUCUUUAAGUCAGGGGUGAAAUCCCAAGGCUCAACCUUGGAACUGCCUUUGAUACUGGGGAUCUCGAGUCCGGAAGAGGUGAGUGGAACUGCGAGUGUAGAGGUGAAAUUCGUAGAUAUUCGCAAGAACACCAGUGGCGAAGGCGGACUCACUGGUCCGGUACUGACGCUGAGGCACGAAAGCGUGGGGAGCAAACAGGG
rnacentral:rRNA from 1 species